rnacentral:misc_RNA from 1 species
UUGGGAUCCAACGAUCGCAGCUUCACUCUACAAAGUAGCAUCCUCCCACUCCCAACGCAGCUCAUUCCUUUGUGAAACCAUUAGCUCAACUUGUUUUGCUAAAGUCACAGACCAGUCAUCAUUACCCAGUUCACCUCAAAUAGACUUGUUUGCUGCCAUUGUUCUUCAUCUCAGUUUGAAUCACUGUAAUUUCUUUUCUCCUUUUUUCUAAUUUUUGUGCACACAUAUAUAUAUAUUUUAUAUUAUCCGAUUAAAAGUUAUUGCAUUUAGAUAGGUAUUCUUCUUAGAAAUUUUAAAAAUAGUGUUGGAAAUCAUUUGCCUAUGAUUUUAUUAAGG